GGGUCGAGUAUGGUGUUGGAUG
rnacentral:siRNA from 1 species